rnacentral:piRNA from 2 species
GCUCAGUUGGUAGAGCGGAGGACUGUA